AUCUAAUUAAUAAUGUCUUCUUUGCUGGACCUCUUAAUUAGGUUUCAUUAAUAGAUUACAGCUCAUGACACUCGUGUAUAAUGAUUUUUCUCUACAAAAAAAAAGUAUAUAAUAACUGUUAUAUGUAUAUAUUGUGUUCCAAAUUGUCCCUCCCAAAACUAAUGAACUCGUGGUUUAAUUUUCUUUAGCUAAUUAAUGACUAGAGCUCCGUGUUGUGGACGUAUAAUAUGUGUGUCCUCCUAAUCAUUCAAACUCAUAACAUUUAGUACAUUCCCAUACCCCGCUUAAUUCUCUAGACAUUCAUCUUUAAAUGGCGUGUUAACGAAAUUGAACUGUUGAAGUGUACUCAUUGAGCUAUGCCGCAGGUGAAUCAACUCGUGAACCCUGUACGGCAUCAGUGUCACUCUAACAGCACCCCAAAGACUCAAGUUUAUGGUGAAUGCUAUUUGGACAGUUGUGAUGGAACUUAUUUCUUGGAUAAUUCUCUCAAGUUGCCUAAGAACGUUGGUAGCCAUCGUCUCAUCAGGCCCCACGUUCUUAAUUCAUGUAUUCGGAAACUAGACCAUGUGGAAAUUCUAAACCGACUUAACGGAAAUUACAAUGGUGGUGAGAUCAACUCUUGUGCCGGCAUUGGUCUUGGCUGCUGCCAUUGCGUAUCCUACAACACCAAUCUCGACCAUAGGCCGCACUCAGAUGGAAACGUCUUAAGUAAGGUUUAUACAAGCACACAAUUUACCAAAGCUGAACUUGGAGAAGUUAUUUUCAAUAGGACAGAAUCUUAUCGGAAUAACAUUAGCUCCACCUGUAGGAACUGCAACACCGGCAUCGCCUCAUCUUCCAAGUGCUCUUUAGCGACCUACACAACGUCAAAGUGUUACAGACAUGCGAACUCUAGUGCCGCACCAAUUGGUCGUAUUAAAAGUAGCACUACUCAGUAUCAGUACUUAAUUCGAAAACAACAACGCACUAGAAAGUGUGGUUUUAAUGUAUUUAUGCACAGUGCCCUUUACAGGCAACAGCACAGAAUUGAGAACAAUUAUAUCAUCUAUCACAACCCAAUGGAAGAUCCAGAUGCAACAUACACAAGUUUCUCCAACCCUAACUACUUCUUCAAUCGUGCUCGGCACCACAACAAUAACAACAAUGCCACCACUCCAAAUGGCAACACCAGUGGAAUAUUGGCUGACAAGCUAAGGCUCAACACAGACUAUUUUGACAAUCAUGGAGCCUUCAGUGAUUACUCCUCUUGUGAGCCCACCCCUACCACCCCUGACAGGACCCUCAUUCUUCAGAAGUUGCACUCACCUUCAGAUGAUGAUGAUGAUGAUGAUGAUGAUGAUGACAAUGAGGAUGACAAGAGAUACCUGGUCAAGGCUGAUGGAGAUAGUGACAGUAGCCAGUCUAACAACGAAGAGCCUAGGAUGUAUGUAGGUGUCGGAAGCCAUCAAGUUAGAAGGUCCAGGGGAAUCCUAGGCUACCUGGAGAUGUUAGAGAAACAAGCUCUCCAAAGAGAAUCACGAAAAUUCAACAAUGAUAACAGUGAUGAGGAGGAUGGUGAUGAUAAAGAAAAAGAUGAUGAUGAGAAAGAGGAUGCACCUAAAACCAUGCAGGGAGGUGAUCAGCCUGUAGAACCACCACCUAAUGAAAUCUUUGACCAUGGUACAGAGAUUAACUCUCCUGAUUCAAAUGACAGUGGAAUCCAGGCUGGUGAGAAGACUCCUAUUCUCUCUCCUGAUACUCCGGGUGCUCUGAAUGUGCCACCUAUAGAAGAUGUUACCCAGCCAAUAAAGCAAGACAGUGAAGUUCUACCAGAAGGUUGGGAGAAACAUGAAGAUGAUGAUGGGGCAUACUACUGGCAUGUCAAGAGUGGUACCAUCCAGAGAGACCCUCCACCUCCUGCUCCCCCUGAUGGUCCAGCACUUUGUUCUCCCAGGUCAAUCUCACUGACCUCUGAAUCAAGUUCCAGUUCUGCUGGAUCUAUCCCAUCAACCCCAACCAGUACCAAUUCUGGAACUGAGCAUCACUUGGCAGAGUUUGAAGGUCAUGCUCUACAGUAUGCUGCCAACUCUCUCCAAUCUUUAUCAACAUUGUCAGAGAAGAAACCCCAGGAAACUUCUUCUGAUAAAACUGUACGCUUUGCAGUUCGCUCCCUUGGCUGGGUGAAAAUAGCAGAAGAAGAUUUAUCUCCUGAUCGAAGCAGCAAGGCUGUUAACAAGUGCAUUGUGGAUCUUUCACUUGGUCGCAAUGAUAUUAAUGAUGCUGUUGGACGAUGGGGAGAUGGCAAGGAUUUAUUUAUGGAUUUAGAUCAUACUAGUCUUAGGUUGGUGGAUCCAGUUGACGGGGUGGUCCUCAACUCACAACCGAUCCACUCUAUUAGAGUAUGGGGUGUGGGACGUGAUAACGGAAGGGACUUUGCCUAUGUGGCCAGAGACAGAGGUACACGUAUUCAUAUGUGUCAUGUGUUCCAUUGUGACACACCAGCUCGUCAGAUUGCUAACACACUCAGAGAUAUCUGUAAAAAGAUCAUGCUGGAGCGCAGCUUGCACCAGUCUGCUGUGGCAAGACUUAUGCGACCAACAGAUCUGCCCAAUCUAGACAAAGUGUCACAGCCCAAUGGGGAAAAGUUGUCUUUUCAGAACUUGUAUAACAAUGCAAGAUUUCCAACUCCAAUGGAAGAGCCUCGUAAAGUGAUGAGGUGUCAUUAUCUUGGUACACAUGAGGUGAUCAGACCAACAGGCCGUGACAUACUAAAUGAAGCCAUUCAGUACAUGUACUACCGCAUCCCACCUGAGAAGUGGAAGUUUGUCAAUGUAGCCAUAGCACCAUCAACUAUCACUAUCACUGAACAUGGAAAUCCUGAUGGAAUGAUAGAGGAGUGCAGAGUUCGUUUCCUGUCUUUCAUGGGAAUAGCAGUGGAUAAUGUCAAACUGUGUGCUUUCAUUAUGCACACAUCACAAAAUAAGUUCAUUUGUCAUGUGUUCCACUGUGAGCCUAGUGCUGGCCCAAUGUGUAAAACCAUAGAAGCUGCUUGUAAGCUGCGUUACCAGAAAUGUUUAGAUGCCCAUCCACAAACACCUAAAGGGGGAUUACAAGGAAAGAAUGUUGUUGAUGUUCUAAGUGCUGGUUUCAAAGCUAGUGUACAAGGAUUGAAAGUCGGAGUUCAAGAGGUCAAAUCAGGAGCUGUUAUAGGGGUCAUGGGAGUACUUAAUUUAUUCAAAGGGAAAAUGAAUGUUAAAAGUAGUGACUCUUGAUGAUUGCAUCCCUCUAGCGUUCAGGUCUUCAAAUAGCAUCCACUGAUCAGUAGUUUGAGAAGCAGCAUCAAACAAAGUAUCCAGUGUGUCUGGGGCUCAGUGACCCAACUGACCUCUCCCAAGUAGCCUGGCUGCAGGCUCAACCAAUACAUCAUUGCUAUCUUUUGUUUUGUUUUCUUUGCUCCAGUGAAUUAUUGGUGUAGCUUAUUAUGUCAUGCAGUUAGUUUCAGGGACACACAAUGUUCCCCAAUAGUAUGAUCACUACUUUCAUAAUGGAAAGCACCUUUUUGUUUUCAUCUUUGAAUUCUAAAGUAAACUGUUUUGUCACUAUCUUUGGAGGAUUGUAGGAUUAAAUCUGUAAAAAGAAACACAAUCUGUGAUUGAAUACAUUGCUGUCAUUUCAGAAUUUUGUUUUGUGAAACAUUUUAAAUCCAAAAUCCAAUCCUUUGAAUAGUUGUUUUUUUUACUUUUGAUCAAGUCUAGAGGUGAGGGAAGGAGAGGGGGAAAGAGACAUCCAGAUGUUUGUUUUUUUUCUUAUUGAUUGGCAUCAGAUCAAAUGUACAUGAACAACUAAGUGAUGUAGUACUCGAAAAUAGGUGCUACUUUUCACUUUAGUGACAUAAGUUGUCAUUUUUUAUCAAUAAUAUGUAUAGAGUAUAGUUGAAAAGUUUGCAUUUGCAAUGAAAAAAAAGAUUAGAAAUUGAGAUUAUUUUUUUAUAAUUUUAUAUUUCUUUAAAUUUUUUUUAUUUUUUAACCCAUCAAAAAAAAAACAUAUCGUCUGGUUACACAUUCCAAUGUUCAAAUUAAAAUUUGUUCAAAUCCAAAGAUCAAAUAUUAUAUUAUUCAUUUAUUGUUCUAUAGAAAAACAUUUUUUAAUUUGGAUAAAGACUUUCUAGAAAUACAAAAAAAUUUAAUAGUAACAGAAUUUUUAAAUAUUUUUUUUUUAAGUGUUUGUCUUUUUACAACUUAUUUAUAAAGUAUACAUUUAUACAUGUAUAUCUGUCAGCCUUUUUAAUUUGUCUGAUCCAGAACUGAUACUAAACAAAAUUAGAUAAAUAUAUUUAAAAAAAUAGUUCAAAUAUUUCUACAUAGUUCAUUAAACAGGAAAUCAUUUUUUAAAUAUAAUAUAAUAGGUUUUUUAAAAUGUUUUGUUUGAACAUUUAAUGAACCAAAAUAAAAGAAAUAUGAGCCUCAUUCUGUUCAGCAUGGCUCUGUAGGAAGCCUAGCUAUUUAUAGUAGUCUUAAUUUUAAAACAGCUGUUCAAACUAUUGAUGUAUAAAUAGUGCUAAGUUCAUUCUUUUUAAUUGAUAAAAAGCUUGAUACAGAACAUGCUACUUUAGUGUUUCAAUUCAAUUUUAUGUCCAAAUUUUGAAUCUUCAUAUCUAUAUUAUUAUUGUUUCUACUACUAUUCCAACUGUAUUUUUUUCUCUUUUUAUUUUUGUUUUAUACUUCUAUUUAGUUAAAUAUUAUCCUUUAUUGUUAAUUGGUCAUUAUAAUAAUUUUUAAAAAUAUAUUUUACUGUAAUAUCUUUUUUUUUUCACCCAAUAUUUAUUCCUUUUCCAAUGAAACAUUUCUACUUACAAAUUUAGUUCCAGAAUUCAUUGUACCUACAGUAUAUAUCUAGAUGACACAGUGAAAACAGCAACAUACAGAGUCAGUGGCAAAUACAGGAAUAAAUCUACAGAAUCAAUUGACAAUUUCAAAUGUCAUUCAGACUUUGUUGUUUUGCAUCUAUUGGUAAAAUAUAGACAGGGUAAUUUUAUCAUCAAUCUUUGUUUAUUUUAUACCAUUUAGUCUUUCUGUACUGGUAAGGCUAAGGAGAGGGGGGGGGGGGAUAUUUUGAAAUAAAAGAAUUUGUACUUUGUUAUCUCCCAUUAGACUAGUUGAAUACCAGUACUUCGACAUUAUUUUGAUUACAGUGUUUGCAAAGUGGUUGUGCACGUUAUGUUUCUAUAGAGCAGCAAAAUUUUGUUUUUGUGCUUUUACAACUGUGCACAUUACAGAAUAUUUUUUGUACAUUACUUUUUUAUUUUUUUUAAUAUAUUCCUUAAAAGUCAUUGUAUUGACCACACCUUAGUGCAGGAUUAAAACUCAUUGUAAUGACCACACCUUUGUGCAGGAUUGAAGCUCAAUGCAAUGACCACACCUCUGUGCAAUGACCUAUUGCCAGUAAAUCAUAAUCUUUAACUCUAAAAAGUGUGGGGCUAUUUAUUUUAAUUUUUUUUUUUUUAAUCAAGAUUGUUCAGAAAGAUGUAAGCUUUCAACAUGUCCUAUUUUAAAAUAUUCUGAUCAUUAACUUUUGUAAAAGAAUGCAACAGUUAAGUUCUGACAAAUUCAGUGAAAUGAAUUAAGCUUGAUUCUUUUAUUAACAGCCUUAACAAUCUUAGAGCUCAUGGUUAUUAGCAUCUAUAACAAUCUUGGAACUUUUUUAAACAUCUUCAUUAUAUUGACAAGUGUGAGUUCUUUUUUUUUCUUUAUUAACAUCCUUAAAUAUUUUCUAGCUCUUUUUAUUUUAUUUAUUAACUAUUAAGAUCUGAAAGAAACUUUGAGCUUUUGUUUUUUAGUCUUCAGAUUUCUAGUCCAGUUUUCAUCACCAGUAACAGAAAAGUCAUAAUUAUUUUAAAGGAUUUGAAUUAUUUUAUAUGGCAAAAAAAAAUUGAGUUUUGUUGUAAUGGACACUUUUGUACAUAUGUUAAACAUGUAAUUGUUAUUUUGCAUUUUAUUUUUGAAACAGCUUUUGUAGAAACUGAGAAUUCAGAACAGCUUUCAUACAAACUAAAAAUUCAGGCUUAGCAUAAUAUCCAACACUAGAAAUGUCUGGCAUAUCUAUGUGUGUGUUUUUAAUACUCGGUGCUUACUUCUGUAUUUCUGUAUACUGCUUCAUAGAUGUCAACUUUCUGCAAAACAUUGACAGGCAUCAAACACCUAGAUCUAAUGACUUGAUAACAGUGUCACAUAUUAGGCAGUAUCACAUAUUUCAGUAUUAUCUCCACCUGUUUGUAACUCAUAGUGAUGCAUUGAUAUUGAGUUUUUUGCUGAUUCACUAGGACAAUAAAAUGAUCAACAUAAUGAGCCCCAUCCUAACAUGGGUGGCAGUGUGAUAUUAUUUUCCUUUUACAUCUCCACACAAUAUACAUCCCUCAUUGGAACUUUUCUUAAUCAUUGACAUUAGGCUGAUUAUACAAGAGUAAGGAAUAGAAAACAAGACAAAGUUUUUCAACAGAUUAUAAAGUAUUUUGUCAUCAGAAUUAUUUACUUGUAGAUGUUAAUUAUGUUCACAUCAACCAAUACUAUGCUAGAUGGAUGUCUAAAAAAAUUUUUGUGUGCACAUUAAUAAGUAUGUAGUAUUUGUAUAGAAAAAUUGAAAUUGUUUUAAAAAAUAGCAAGUUACUUUGCUUAUUAAAUAUCAAUUUGUACAUGAACAUUAAAAAGAAAUUUUUUAAUCUUUCUAGAACUCAAUGUAUAAGACUCUUGUUCACUUUGUUAUCCUUAAAUUUAGCUAGAAAUUGGCAUUUUCAAACUGUUAAAAAACUAUUGUCACAUUUUAGACUAUAACCAGUAGUAAAAAAAAAUGAUAUUAAUGUCAAUAUUCAUACAAUUUUUUUAUUUUUUUUUAAAUAAACAAUUCAAUUUGUUGUAUGUGCAAUAGACAUGAUUUUAUGCAUUACAAUUAUUUGCGUAUGUUUUGAUUUACAACUCUCUUGUUGUAGCUCAUACAAUUCAUUUUGUAUCAACUAAUUUGCUUAUUUCAUGUACCAGUCAUGAAUUGAUGAUGAAACCUCUGUGAUUUUUGUAGCAUUCUUUGAUACAAUGUUGGUAGAGUGUUUCUGUUUCCUUUAGUUGAUUAGCUCCCCUUUGUGCUUAUUACACAAUAAAUUGAAUAUGCAAUAGACUCAAAA